rnacentral:misc_RNA from 1 species
GUGAAUCAUCAAAUCUUUGAACGCAAAUUGCACUCUCCGGUUUUCCGGGAGAGUAUGCCUGUUUGAGGGUCAGCCUAAAAAAAAUCGACAUUUUUGCGGUUUUAUGGUGAUUUUCGUCGGGGAUGGGUUAUCUUAAAUCACGGUUUAGUCGACUUAAAAAUUUUUUUUCCGAUUUUAAGAAUGUUUCUAAGUUUUUUUUGGUACGUUUAAGGUAU